rnacentral:hammerhead_ribozyme from 1 species
GCACUACUGAGGAGUCCCAUACUAGAACGAAAUGGCCGUCCAGUGC